UCUCCCUAUUUCUCCCCGAGCCCUAAUCUUCUUCCUCGCCGUUUUCCUUCCCCCGUCCCUUCUCUAGCGACGCCGCCCGAAAACCUUAUUCUCCUCCUCGUCUCAACGCCGCCUCCGAUUCCUCUCCUCUUCCUCCGUCGAAUCCUCUUCUCUCUUCCUCGAGAUUUCCUCUUCUUCCAUGUUUAUGGCCGACGUUGCCAUCCCGUCACCAUUGCCGGUCGCCGUUCACUGUCGCCUCGUCGCCACCUCGGCUGGCCGGACGAAGCUAGCUUGCAGCCAGAUGCGGCCAGCCCGCGGCCGCUACUGCUCGCCCCAUCUUCGUUCCGUGCCCAAGUUCCCAUCACCGAUUCUAUUUUUACCCGAUUCAUCGUCGUCGUCGCCGGUCACCAGAACUUCACCGCCGGCUCAGUGUGUCCUUCACCCUGCCAUGGGAUUGACCUAGACGUCACCUCCUUCCUCUGCCAUCCCUGCCCCAACGCCGGCUACUUGACGCCACAAUCCAGCAGCUAACGUCGCAUCUACCCAAGGUUGGCUACUACUUUCGACAGCAAGUUCUUCUGCUAUAAGCCAACAGCGAUGCAUUCGGAAUAGAUAUCAGGUAGAGGUAUGUGGAGUCGCUUGGAGUAUCCUGUCUGCCGGUUCCCACGUCACAUCCGAAGAUCGUUUCGAGUUUCGUUUACGCUUUUCGUGUAUUUGGUAUUUAGUGUUGUUAUUGUGUUUUGUGUUGUUGUGGUUGUUGUGUAAAGCCUAGCCGACUAGCAGUUGUUAUUUUUAGUUUGUAUGGUUUUGCUUUAUCGUUUUUCCGCUGUGUUGGUUUUUAGUACAGCCGAGUGGGCUGUAAAAUAUAUAUAUAACUGUGUGGUUGUGUUUAUUUUGUUCCAACGAGUGGGUUGAUGAUGUAAAUUGUGUGGUUGUGUAUAUAUUCCAGCUGUGUGUGGUAGAAGUAUAUUUUGUAUAUAGUAAUGCUUCAGAUUGUCACCCGUACAUGAGAGAUGUCAAAAUUUUUUCUGGCAGGGACUACCUGGGGCGUGACAGCUUACCUCUAAAUGCCUAAAGAUGAAAUUUGUAGUUGUUGUUUUUAGUUUGUAUGGUUUUGCUUUAUCGUUUUUCCGUUGUGUUGGUUUUUAGUACAGCCGAGUGAGCUGUAAAAUAUAUAUAUAACUGCGUGGUUGUGUUUAUUUUGU